rnacentral:rRNA from 1 species
GAUGAACGCUGGCGGCGUGCUUAACACAUGCAAGUCGAACGAAGCACCUCUCCCGAAGAUUGACACAGCUUGCUGUAGAUUGAUUCAUUUGAGGUGACUGAGUGGCGGACGGGUGAGUAACGCGUGGGUAACCUGCCUCAUAGAGGGGGACAACAGUUGGAAACGACUGCUAAUACCGCAUAGUAAGAAGAAUUCGCAUGUUUUCUUCUUGAAAGAUUUAUCGCUAUGAGAUGGACCCGCGUCUGAUUAGCUAGUUGGUAAGGUAACGGCUUACCAAGGCGACGAUCAGUAGCCGGCUUGAGAGAGUGAACGGCCACAUUGGGACUGAGACACGGCCCAAACUCCUACGGGAGGCAGCAGUGGGGAAUAUUGCACAAUGGGGGAAACCCUGAUGCAGCGACGCCGCGUGAGUGAAGAAGUAUUUCAGUAUGUAAAGCUCUAUCAGCAGGGAAGAUAAUGACGGUACCUGACUAAGAAGCCCCGGCUAACUACGUG